rnacentral:rRNA from 1 species
ACAAGCGGUGGAGUAUGUGGUUUAAUUCGAUGCAACGCGAAGAACCUUACCUGGCUUGACAUCCCGGAGACCCUUAGGAAACUAGGGGGUGGCUUCCAUCUGGAAGAAUCUGGAGACAGGUGCUGCAUGGCUGUCGUCAGCUCGUGUCGUGAGAUGUUGGGUUAAGUCCCGCAACGAGCGCAACCCUUGCCUUUAGUUGCCAGCAGUUCGGCUGGGCACUCUAAAGGGACUGCCGGUGUUAAACCGGAGGAAGGUGGGGAUGACGUCAAGUCCUCAUGGCCUUUAUGACCAGGGCUACACACGUACUACAAUGGCCGAUACAAAGGGCAGCGACACUGCGAGGUGAAGCCAAUCCCGUAAAAUCGGUCUCAGUCCGGAUUGGAGUCUGCAACUCGACUCCAUGAAGUUGGAAUCGCUAGUAAUCGUGGAUCAGCAUGCCACGGUGAAUACGUUCCCGGGCCUU